AUUGAACGCUGGCGGCAGGCCUAACACAUGCAAGUCGAGCGGAUGAAGGGAGCUUGCUCCUGGAUUCAGCGGCGGACGGGUGAGUAAUGCCUAGGAAUCUGCCUGGUAGUGGGGGAUAACGUCCGGAAACGGGCGCUAAUACCGCAUACGUCCUGAGGGAGAAAGUGGGGGAUCUUCGGACCUCACGCUAUCAGAUGAGCCUAGGUCGGAUUAGCUAGUUGGUGGGGUAAAGGCCUACCAAGGCGACGAUCCGUAACUGGUCUGAGAGGAUGAUCAGUCACACUGGAACUGAGAAACGGUCCAGACUCCUACGGGAGGCAGCAGUGGGGAAUAUUUGACAAUGGGCGAAAGCCUGAUCCAGCCAUGCCGCGUGUGUGAAGAAGGUCUUCGGAUUGUAAAGCACUUUAAGUUGGGAGGAAGGGCAGUAAGUUAAUACCUUGCUGUUUUGACGUUACCAACAGAAUAAGCACCGGCUAACUUCGUG
rnacentral:rRNA from 1 species